GUUGACGGGGCCCGCGACAAGCGGUGGAGUAUGUGGUUAAUUCGAUGCAACGCGAAGAACUACCUGGUCUUGACAUCCCGGAGACCCUUAGGAAACUAGGGGGUGCUUCCAUCUGGAAGAAUCUGGAGACAGGUGCUGCAUGGCUGUCGUCAGCUCGUGUCGUGAGAUGUUGGGUUAAGUCCCGCAACGAGCGCAACCCUUGCCUUUAGUUGCCAGCAGUUCGGCUGGGCACUCUAAAGGGACUGCCGGUGUUAAACCGGAGGAAGGUGGGGAUGACGUCAAGUCCUCAUGGCCUUUAUGACCAGGGCUACACACGUACUACAAUGGCCGAUACAAAGGGCAGCGACACUGCGAGGUGAAGCCAAUCCCGUAAAAUCGGUCUCAGUCCGGAUUGGAGUCUGCAACUCGACUCCAUGAAGUUGGAAUCGCUAGUAAUCGUGGAUCAGCAUGCCACGGUGAAUACGUUCCCGGGCCUU
rnacentral:rRNA from 1 species